UGGUGGUAACCAGAUGAUCCCAAUAAUUUAGGUAGCCGAGUAAAUGAUGCCCCCCUCUGGUCAGCUUUUGGCAUGUUCUAUUGCGAGUUGUUUGGGACUCUAUUGCGAGUUGUUUUCCGCGUUUACUAAUCAAAGAUAUUUUACUUAUUAAGUCAAAUAUGAAAUGAUCUGCAAUACACUGGUCUUUUACAAUGGUGGAAUCAAUGUCAAAUUAGAGGCUUUUUAUUGUAUUAAAACGUGUCUCAAUCCAACGUGCCUAGCUAGCUCUGCCCACUGGGGCGUGGCUUACGGAGCACACUGAAAUAAGUGCUCUUAACUCGAUCCAUUGGAAUAAGGCGAUACCUCACCAGUGAGCACGAUCUUCUAGCUAAUGUUAGUCCUCCCUGACCAAUGGACUAUUGACUUUGCUUUGUAACGCACAGUGGACUUGACUACUUAUUUUAUAUCAUAAAGGGAGUUAAGUAUUUCAGAAUAUAUCACAUUGAAGUGUGGUGUUUUGAAGCUACAUGUUGAAAUCAAGAAAAGAGCAGAGGCCAUAUGGAACUAGAACUGCAAUCAUAUUAAAAACAGCUUAUGUUAUGUCAAAUCAACUAACUAACUAGCAAACCAAAUGAGUUUUCCUUCAUCUGUAGCUCUGGGAGUCAAAGAUUCUGCAGUCCAAAGCAGUGGAUGGCUUGGCCCUCAUGAAGAACACCAACUCAUCAGACUUUGUGCUGCAGCUCCCUCCAAACUAUGGACAGACGUUUACAAAACAUACAUACAGCCUCUAAUUUCCCAGGACUUGAGCCUGAACCCAGGACUCACUGGAAAACAGUGAACAACAGUGGGACUCUGGCCACCUCUCUUCCUCCACGGAUGACCUACCCAGUCCAGAUCCCUGCAGGGUUCACAAUGCAGACAUCCUCUGGCCAGCUUUACAUGGUGAACUUUAUAGUGAUGGUGUCCCAGGUUCCAGCCGGCCACAGCCCUCUCCCCUCAGCUACAGAAGGGGGUACCUGUAGUGGAGUGGAAAGAUCCCAGCCCAUCUUCCAAGCAGUCAGCUAUGGUGGUCCCUUCUACUGUCCUCAAGACCAUGACCACUCCGAAGACAGAUCCAUUCUCCCCACGACCUGUGGCCCCUCCCACAGCUGUACCUCAGACACCAGAGCAGACCCUGAUACGUCCAUCCAGGUGAUGCCUCCGGUCCAGCCACCUGAUGCGAAGCCUGUGCUACCCAAACCCGUGGUCUAG
rnacentral:lncRNA from 1 species